AGUCUUAUAUUCAUGAAUGAUUUUAAAUUGCAAAUUUAAAGGUGAGUAUACUCUAAGGCUU
rnacentral:tRNA from 1 species